CAGGCUAACCUUUGCCCUGCUAAGGUUACCUGAGGGAUUUAAAAAGAGUUUUAUCUGCUGACCACAAUGAUGAGUGUUAAUACUGCUGUCUGAGGAUUAAGCAGACAUUGAAUAAUGAUUCAGUUCAUCUGUUCUGUUAUUGAUGAUGGUUCCUAUGGCGUAUUUUAGUAUUUGUAAUCUUUGAACAAAACAGUGGUGUAGUGGU
rnacentral:snoRNA from 1 species